GGGCUUAUUUAAAAUGAAACUGAUUCUUAUUCUUGCUUGCCUGGCGCUUUACUUGGCCCACACUCAGGCCCAGGUGCGUUAUUGUCGUGGUGCUGCUGCAUUUGACUUUACACAAUGCUUUGGUUUUAGAGAUUCAGGAAUUACGUCUCCCGUCUGUCGAUCCAGGUCAAAUAACAACAUGUGGUGGUUUGACACCAGGGACAGGACCUGCAAGCAAUUUGCCUAUCUUGGAUGUCUUGGCAACUUCAAUCGCUUUUGCACUCGUGGCGAUUGCGAAAUAAGGUGCCGGCGUUAAUACUGAACGGAAGAACAGUCGAGUGACUUUGUAUAUGAUUCGAAAUAUAAAUAUGGCAUUUAA
rnacentral:sRNA from 1 species